UACAGAGGGUGCAAGCGUUAAUCGGAAUUACUGGGCGUAAAGCGCGCGUAGGUGGUUCGUUAAGUUGGAUGUGAAAUCCCCGGGCUCAACCUGGGAACUGCAUUCAAAACUGACGAGCUAGAGUAUGGUAGAGGGUGGUGGAAUUUCCUGUGUAGCGGUGAAAUGCGUAGAUAUAGGAAGGAACACCAGUGGCGAAGGCGACCACCUGGACUGAUACUGACACUGAGGUGCGAAAGCGUGGGGAGCGAAACAGG
rnacentral:rRNA from 1 species